GAAUGAGUUGUGUGUAAUUGAUCUAACCAUCGAGAGCUAAUUAAUACUAACUAUGUCUGAGAUACUUACUUAUAUUACACGAAUGGAAGCCACCUCAGACUGUUAUAAAAAAAAAACUACAUUAGACGUAUAGUGAAAAAGGAUAGUGUGACGCGCGAAUUGUGCAAAUUUGAUGUGAGGGUUCAUGAAUAACCCCAGUGAACCCACGAACAAGAGAGGAAUGAGAACAAGAGCCAAGAACGAAUGAAAUAAUUUGUGAUAUAAGUAAUGAUGAAAAAUAAAUGAACAUGCGAAAUUAGAUGUAAAGAAAAUAAGAUGCGGAUGGAAAAAAAAGAAAGAAAAAAGAAAAAGUGGCAACUCGCAUGUAUGCGAACGCCCCCCACCAGGUGAGUGGCGAUACUCUUGGCUUGACGAGCAAACCGCUCACCUGUGAGGGACUGCCUGUAGAAACCCUCGCCUUCGUCGUUGUGCUUCGUAAUUAAAAACCUCGGGACCUUGGGCGCUGCUCGACGUCGCCACCGUCGCCCGCAGCACCGGCAACAAGACCCGGGGUUUUUCGCCCUAGCUUGGCGAACACCGAGGCACGGCAACAGAUCACAGCCUUUCGACAAGGGUGGGGACCCCCCUGUCGUCCCCCGAGGAGUCGUGUGCUCCACCGGCUUCGGCAUACGGACAAAGCGUUAGUAGAAAAACGGAGUGUAUGCGAAGCCCCCUUUGGAAUAGUACCCGUAUGAGACAUUUGCAGCGUUCGGGCUCUUAUCUGUUUAAGUUUCUUUAUUUCGAGUGGAUGGUAAUUAUAUCGUAUUUGUGUCUGGUGUGUAUGCGUGUUGGGGGCGCCUCGUGUAUUAUCUACGUGCCAAUACCGCAGCGUGCUGAAUUUUUAUAUAGUUUAUAGGUUGUAUAGUUUUGAUUUAUAAAGUUAUCAAUUAUAUGUUACCUAUGAUUAAUGAAUUAGAAAUAUC
rnacentral:lncRNA from 1 species